UCACUGCUGAGGAGUCCCACAACAGGGUGAAACGACCAUCCAGUGCUUUCAGGUUCUCCAUAGUGGUCCAGCUUCAAUCGACUCAUGAUUUCAACUGUUAAAAUACUAAAUCUCCACAAAAACCCUUCUGAUAAUUCAUAAUAGAUCAGAGGGGGGUUUGUGGAGAAUUUAGUAUUUUAACAGUUGAAAUCAUGAGUCGAUUGAAGCUAGACCAUCAUUGAAAACCUGAAAGCACUGGACGGCCAUUUCGUUCUAUUAUGGGAAUCCUCAGCAGUGCGCAUCCAUAAUAAUAGGACGAAACGGCCGUCCAGUGC
rnacentral:hammerhead_ribozyme from 1 species